rnacentral:tRNA from 1 species
GCCUUCGUGGUGUAAUGGUCAGCACGCUCGGCGCGUAUACAAGAGGUCCGUGGUUCGAGUCCCGGCGAAGGCG